AGAGUUUGUUCCUGGCUCAGGAUGAACGCUAGCGACAGGCUUAACACAUGCUAUUCCGAGGGGCAGCGGGGCGGCAGGCUUGCCUGCCGUUGCCGGCGACCGGCGCACGGGUGAGUAACACGUAUGCAACCUGCCCGUGGCAGGGGGACAAGCGGGGGAAACCCCGUCUAAUACCGCGUAACGCGGCCUAGGGACUUACCGAGGCCCCCCAAGGGAGCAAUCCUGGCCACGGAUGGGGCAUGGCGGUGCAUUAGUUAGUCGGCGGGGUAACGGCCCACCGAGGCGACGAUGCGUAGGGGUUCUGAGAGGAAAGGCCCCCCACACUGGUACUGAGACACGGACCAGACUCCUACGGGAGGCAGCAGUGAGGAAUAUUGGUCAAUGGGCGCGAGCCUGAACCAGCCAAGUCGCGUGAGGGAGGACAAACCCUACGGGUUGUAAACCUCUUUUGCCGGGGAGCAACGGGCGUCACGUGUGGCGCCACUGAGAGUACCCGGAGAAAAAGCAUCGGCUAACUCCGUGCCAGCAGCCGCGGUAAUACGGAGGAUGCGAGCGUUAUCCGGAUUUAUUGGGUUUAAAGGGUGCGUAGGCGGAAUAUCAAGUCAGCGGUAAAAAUUCGGGGCUCAACCCCGUCGUGCCGUUGAAACUGAUGUUCUUGAGUGGGCGAGAAGUAUGCGGAAUGCGUGGUGUAGCGGUGAAAUGCAUAGAUAUUGCGCAGAACUCCGAUUGCGAAGGCAGCCUACCGGCGCCAGACUGACGCUGAGGCACGAAAGCGUGGGGAUCGAACAGGAUUAGAUACCCUGGUAGUCCACGCAGUAAACGAUGAA
rnacentral:rRNA from 1 species